rnacentral:rRNA from 1 species
GACGAACCGUGCGAACGUUGUUCGGAAUCACUGGGCUUAAAGGGCGCGUAGGCGGGUUCGAAAGUCUGUGGUGAAAGCCUCCAGCUUAACUGGAGAAGUGCCAUGGAUACUGCGAACCUGGAGGAGGGUAGGGGCAUCUGGAACGCUGGGUGGAGCGGUGAAAUGCGUUGAUAUCGGAAGGAACGCCGGUGGCGAAAGCGACGUACUGGACCUCUUCUGACGCUGAGGCGCGAAAGCUAGGGGAGCAAACGGG